AUGAAGAACGUAGCGAAAUGCGAUAAGUAAUGUGAAUUGCAGAAUUCAGUGAAUCAUCGAAUCUUUGAACGCACCUUGCGCUCCUUGGUAUUCCGAGGAGCAUGCCUGUUUGAGUGUCAUUAAAUUCUCAACCUCACCCGUUUUCUGAACGGUUCUCCGAGGCUUGGAUGUGGGGGUUUGUGCAGGCUGCCUCAGCGCGGUCUGCUCCCCUGAAAUGCAUUAGCGAGUUCGUACUGAGCUCCGUCUAUUGGUGUGAUAAUUAUCUACGCCGUGGACAGGGUUUAGACUCGCUUCUAACCGUCCGCAAGGACAAUACCUUUGACAAUUUGACCUCAAAUCAGGUAGGACUACCCGCUGAACUUAAGCAUAUCAAUAAGCGGAGGA
rnacentral:misc_RNA from 1 species